AGUUAGGAACGUCCAGCUGUGGUUGAAUUUCUGUUGAACUGAAUUUUAUGGCAUUAAUUACUGACUUGCCCGAGUUGGACUCAUUAAGAAAAAAUGUCUCAGUACAAAUCUGAGAGAGCUCACAGUGAAGAGACGUUCUUCAGUUUCAAAUGAGACUUUGGACUGUUGGUAGUGUUGGGCAUGAUGAAGAUCAUGAGGACUUUUAAGGUUGAACUGAAUGUAUUUUGCGUUAUGUGAUGGCCAUGAGUCUAUAGGAGCCAGGCAUGGAAUGUAGUAUUUAGAAAGUAAAGUCUACCCUCCUAGGCUCAUGAGUUUUUGAUUAAGCUUUAUACUUGACAUUGAGUUUUGGAGCCUGGAUGGAAGAUAUAAGUCACUGAGGGUGGGCCUUGGGGCUUUAUAGCUCAGCCCACCCUUGCUAGUAUUAGCUAUCUCACUCUUGUUGCAUCCUCCCAACUGAUAUGACAAGAUGUGACUCCCUGUUGCUUGUUCAAGUCAUUAUUUCGCUCAUGA